rnacentral:rRNA from 1 species
GACGAACGCUGGCGGCGUGCUUAACACAUGCAAGUCGAACGGAAAGUCCCUGCUUUUGUGGGGUGCUCGAGUGGCGAACGGGUGAGUAACACGUGAGUAACCUGCCCUUGACUUUGGGAUAACUUCAGGAAACUUGGUCUAAUACCAGAUAGGAGCUCCUGCUGCAUGGUGGGGGUUGGAUAGUUUCGUCGGUUGGUGUUGGACUCGCCGGUUAUCAGCUUGUUCGUGGGGUGGUGGCUUACCAAGGAUUUCACGGAUAGCCGGCCUGAGAGGGUGACCGGCCACAUAGGCCUGAGCUACGGCCCAGACUCCAACGGGAGGGAACAGUGGGGAAUAUUACACAAUAGGAGGAAGGCUGGUGCGACAAAGCCGCGCGGCGGGAGACGGGCAUCGGGUUGUAAACCGAUUUCGCCUGUGACGAAGCGUGAGUGACGGUAAUGGGUAAAGAAGCACCGGCUAACUACGUG